rnacentral:rRNA from 1 species
AUUGACUAAGGUUUCCAGAGGAAGGCUCGUCCGCUCUGGGUUAGUCGGGUCCUAAGCUGAGGCCGACAGGCGUAGGCGAUGGAUAACAGGUUGAUAUUCCUGUACCACCUAUAAUCGUUUUAAUCGAUGGGGGGACGCAGUAGGAUAGGCGAAGCGUGCGAUUGGAUUGCACGUCUAAGCAGUAAGGCUGAGUAUUAGGCAAAUCCGGUACUCGUUAAGGCUGAGCUGUGAUGGGGAGAAGACAUUGUGUCUUCGAGUCGUUGAUUUCACACUGCCGAGAAAAGCCUCUAGAUAGAAAAUAGGUGCCCGUACCGCAAACCGACACAGGUAGUCAAGAUGAGAAUUCUAAGGUGAGCGAGCGAACUCUCGUUAAGGAACUCGGCAAAAUGACCCCGUAACUUCGGGAGAAGGGGUGCUCUUUAGGGUUAACGCCCAGAAGAGCCGCAGUGAAUAGGCCCAAGCGACUGUUUAUCAAAAACACAGGUCUCUGCUAAACCGUAAGGUGAUGUAUAGGGGCUGACGCCUGCCCGGUGCUGGAAGGUUAAGAGGAGUGGUUAGCUUCUGCGAAGCUACGAAUCGAAGCCCCAGUAAACGGCGGCCGUAACUAUAACGGUCCUAAGGUAGCGAAAUUCCUUGUCGGGUAAGUUCCGACCCGCACGAAAGGCGUAACGAUUUGGGCACUGUCUCAACGAGAGACUCGGUGAAAUCAUAGUACCUGUGAAGAUGCAGGUUACCCGCGACAGGACGGAAAGACCCCGUGGAGCUUUACUGUAGCCUGAUAUUGAAAUUCGGCACAGCUUGUACAGGAUAGGUAGGAGCCUUUGAAACGUGAGCGCUAGCUUACGUGGAGGCGCUGGUGGGAUACUACCCUAGCUGUGUUGGCUUUCUAACCCGCACCACUUAUCGUGGUGGGAGACAGUGUCAGGCGGGCAGUUUGACUGGGGCGGUCGCCUCCUAAAAGGUAACGGAGGCGCUCAAAGGUUUCCUCAGAAUGGUUGGAAAUCAUUCAUAGAGUGUAAAGGCAUAAGGGAGCUUGACUGCGAGACCUACAAGUCGAGCAGGGUCGAAAGACGGACUUAGUGAUCCGGUGGUUCCGCAUGGAAGGGCCAUCGCUCAACGGAUAAAAGCUACCCCGGGGAUAACAGGCUUAUCUCCCCCAAGAGUUCACAUCGACGGGGAGGUUUGGCACCUCGAUGUCGGCUCAUCGCAUCCUGGGGCUGUAGUCGGUCCCAAGGGUUGGGCUGUUCGCCCAUUAAAGCGGUACGCGAGCUGGGUUCAGAACGUCGUGAGACAGUUCGGUCCCUAUCCGUCGUGGGCGUAGGAAAUUUGAGAGGAGCUGUCCUUAGUACGAGAGGACCGGGAUGGACAUACCUCUGGUGUACCAGUUGUCGUGCCAACGGCAUAGCUGGGUAGCUAUGUGUGGACGGGAUAAGUGCUGAAAGCAUCUAAGCAUGAAGCCCCCCUCAAGAUGAGAUUUCCCAACUUCGGUUAUAAGAUCCCUCAAAGAUGAUGAGGUUAAUAGGUUCGAGGUGGAAGCAUGGUGACAUGUGGAGCUGACGAAUACUAAUCGAUCGAAGACUUAAUCAA